rnacentral:rRNA from 1 species
UACGUAGGGUGCGAGCGUUAAUCGGAAUUACUGGGCGUAAAGCGUGCGUAGGCGGUUGGCAAAGUCAGCUGUGAAAGCCCCGGGCUUAACCUGGGAAUGGCGGUUGAAACUAGUCGACUCGAAUCUGGCAGAGGGGGGUGGAAUUCCACGUGUAGCAGUGAAAUGCGUAGAGAUGUGGAGGAACACCAAUGGCGAAGGCAGCCCCCUGGGAUAACACUGACGCUCAGGCACGAAAGCGUGGGGAGCAAACAGG